rnacentral:rRNA from 1 species
GAUGAACGCUGGCGGCGUGCCUAAUACAUGCAAGUCGAGCGAACAGACGAGGAGCUUGCUCCUUUGACGUUAGCGGCGGACGGGUGAGUAACACGUGGGUAACCUCCCUAUAAGACUGGGAUAACUUCGGGAAACCGGAGCUAAUACCGGAUAAUAUUUCGAACCGCAUGGUUCUAUAGUGAAAGAUGGCUUUGCUAUCACUUAUAGAUGGACCUGCGCCGUAUUAGCUAGUUGGUAAGGUAACGGCUUACCAAGGCAACGAUACGUAGCCGACCUGAGAGGGUGAUCGGCCACACUGGAACUGAGACACGGUCCAGACUCCUACGGGAGGCAGCAGUAGGGAAUCUUCCGCAAUGGGCGAAAGCCUGACGGAGCAACGCCGCGUGAGUGAUGAAGGUCUUCGGAUCGUAAAACUCUGUUAUUAGGGAAGAACAAACGUGUAAGUAACUGUGCACGUCUUGACGGUACCUAAUCAGAAAGCCACGGCUAACUACGUG